GGAGCAAAACCGGCCUUAAAUUUCCAAAAGAACAAUGGAAGAGUCUCAAGGGAUUCUGCUAAAAUCCUUGAGCACUUUCGGUGUUUCGAUCCCGGGAACGUUUCGGCAUUAGAGAUUUAACUCCGAAAACGUUGAUUUCCGUCUGCUGCCAAUCACUUAACAUCAUCGGAAACAACGAAGACGACGAUCAAAACGACGUGUCAUUUACCGAUUCAGUUGAAGAUUAUGUCUCCAUGGCUGACAAGUUCAAGAUCUGUUCCGACAUCUCACUGGCUUUUAAGAAUCUGGGUUAUGUUGGUGACAUGAGCUAUCACAAGUUCUUAUAUCCAUCAGAAGAGGAGUUAUAUAAGCUGGUAAGAUUUUUGGUGGAGAAGCUUUCCGGUUCAUCUGAAGCUGUAAAAGUUUAUGGGAAAUGAAAGGCUGAUUUGAGACAGAAAUUAAAGGAAGAUAACCUAGAGAAAGUUUCGGAGUCUUUUACUCAGAAUCUGGAUAAGGAAGAGGUCCAUCAAAUUCUUCAAAAGGUUGAA